rnacentral:rRNA from 1 species
UAGGGAAUCUUCCGCAAUGGACGAAAGUCUGACGGAGCAACGCCGCGUGAGUGAGGAAGGCCUUCGGGUCGUAAAGCUCUGUUGCCAGGGAAGAACGGCUGUGAGAGUAACUGCUCAUGGUUUGACGGUACCUGAGAAGAAAGCCCCGGCUAACUACGUGCCAGCAGCCGCGGUAAUACGUAGGGGGCAAGCGUUGUCCGGAAUUAUUGGGCGUAAAGCGCGCGCAGGCGGCUUUGUAAGUCUGUUGUUUAACCCAUGGGCUCAACCUGUGGUCGCAAUGGAAACUGCAAGGCUUGAGUGCAGAAGAGGAAAGUGGAAUUCCACGUGUAGCGGUGAAAUGCGUAGAGAUGUGGAGGAACACCAGUGGCGAAGGCGACUUUCUGGGCUGUAACUGACGCUGAGGCGCGAAAGCGUGGGGAGCAAACAGGAUUAGAUACCCCCGUAGUCC